CGGGAGGCGGAGGUUGCAGUGAGCCAAGAUCAUGCCACUGCACUCCAGCCUGGGUGACAGAGUGAGACUUCAUCUCAAAAAAUAAUUUUUUUUUUUCUUUUGAGAUGGAGUUUCACUCUUGUUGCCCAGGCUGGAGUGCAGUGGUGCGAUCUCGGCAGCUCACCGCACCUUCUGCCUCCCG
rnacentral:pre_miRNA from 1 species